UAAAAAAAAUGUUAGAACUUAUGUUAUUUGAAUGCAACUGGAAGGAUAAGAUUUCGAGGGCAAUGAAUAACUUGGCUCUUUACGUAACCAACAAAAACAAUUAAUUGAUUUUGUUGCAUAAAGUUUCUGUUCUGUAUUUUUGUUGCAUAUGUUUAUUUUUAUUUAUUUUUUAAAAAAAUAACUUGGAUCUGCUGCGUCUACUGGAGAAUUUAUCUAGCUGGGGCUGCUCUCACUGGUGGGCGGCAAUUACUUCCUCGCUUUGUUCCGCUUCCUGAGGAUGAAUUUGCUUCUAUCCAAGCCCGGCUUGAUGAUCUUGCUAAUCGGAUAACCGAUUUGGAUGAUAUUUUAAGUUUGCUUUUGCUUUAUUUAUUUAUUUAUUUAUUUUUUAGCGGACCUUAUUGUUACCUUUGCCAUGCAAUUUUCCUUUCUACUAAUCAAAUUCAGUCUCUCUUUUUAAUCUUGCAGUAAUUUUUUUUUUUCUUUUGAAACUAACAUGCUCUAAUGUAUACUUUUGGUUAGUUAUUUGAUUUGUUUAUAUGUAGGUUUUUUUUGCUAUAAUGCCAUAAUAUGUUCUUGAAGACUAUUUAUUUGGAGAUUUUUGCCAUAAGGUGUCGAAGGGGUAGAUUAGUUAAGAUCUUUGUAUUAUGGGUAUGUUAUGGCAAGUCAAGUUCAGGGGCAGAUGCAGCAUAUGACCAGUGGGGGCUGCCAAAAAAAAAUUCUAAAAUUGAAAGAGAAAAAUAUUUUAGU
rnacentral:lncRNA from 1 species